UGCUUGAACUGGUAUUAUUAGGCAGACAGUUGCACGUCACAGAUCCGCGUGAUACGAAAAUUUGCAACGGACUUUUAAUCCGCAGGUCCUCGGUUCGAGCCCGAGAGGGGGCACCA
rnacentral:tRNA from 1 species